CCCCGCCCCUCCCCGAGCAUGGGGAGCCCCGAGCUGGCCCUCCCAUCGGCGCCGCCGCCUCUCCCCGUUCGAUAGGGUUGAGGGCCCGGCUCCUCAGGCGGCAAGGUGCUCCGGCGUGCCCCUGCUGAUCUCCUGCUCGUGGAACAACUGCAUCAGCAGGAACACAUGCUGCAUCUGAUUUUGGUUUCCCUCCCUCCCACAAUUGCAUCUUCAGAACACCUGCAUCACACACAUACACACAUUGCUCAGGGUUCAUAAAAGGGGAACACCGCACCCCGCACACACCGCCGACCGAAUUCCCACCGUACUGCCUGGGCAGCGCUGUCGCCGUCGUGCGUGGGGAAACCAGCACUGUACCAAGGUUUAUCUACACUCUUCUCCGCCUGGGAAUCAUCAUGUGCUUGCUGACCUGCUCGGGCCACAUCGCCGCUGAAACUGCAAACAGCCCCUGCCUGUCUUGUCACGUGAUCUUUGUAUUCUUGCUUGUGAUACUGCAAGCUGCAAUCGCCGCCGAUGUAUUUCUGAAUAGCUACUGGGAGGAGGACAAAUCCCACCAGACUUGGCUCUAAUUGAAGUUAUCAUAAGAGUAAGCAAUCAGCACUUGCUGUUCUGUUUUCUGAUUCUAUUGAGAAAGCUCAAAAUUUGCAGUGUAAGAUCAAACUUUUGCCCGCAGAAUAUUGAAUGUGCACUAAAAAGUAUGUAGAUUUACUCAUGAGGGCAGAAUCCUGUGAAUUUCUUUUGAAUCGAUUGCUCAAUUAGGAAUAA